rnacentral:lncRNA from 1 species
CCCCGAAAACGAGUUUGAUAGCCAAGCCACGUUAAUAUUAAUGAACGGGUGAAAUACCGUUAGUGGUAAAAUUUAACCCGGUGAAUGUUAGGAUUUAAAUAAAUAAUCCUAAAUAAUAAUUAAAAAGAAGAAUAAACGCUUAGAGAAAACAAAGUUUGUAAGAAGCCAUGGUUAACGGGACUUAAAAUAAAACGGGUUAUAAUUUCCCCGAACCCACUAAGUUAACUAGGAAUUUUUAACCUAGUUAGUAAAAGAGAUAAUGUUGGAAUUAAGUAGGUUGUGACCUACUUCAUAAUUAACUAACAAAAAAAUAGAGGGACUAAAAGUGGCAAAUUCGAAAGUGAGUUAUUUAAAAUAACUUAGACACAAAAAAAAAAACACACACACACAUAAGUGUGUUUCUGGUCGACAUUUUCACCAGACAAGGAAAGGUUCUUCUCUUGAACCCUAAAUUACAAAGAAAUGCUCAAAUCAAAGGGGAAAUCAAGCUAAAAAUUGGGGCUUUUAUUAAAUUCGUGAUCACCAAGUCAUGGGGAUCACAAGUUUGACUCUUGACGAGCUAGGUGAAGCUUGGAGGAGAUGAUCAAACGGGAUAAAGACACGAGUAAGACUUGCUUGGAUGAAAGGUAAGUAAAGCUUACACCUAUUUUUUUUAUUAGCAUACGUAUUUAUUCUAUAGGUGAUAAAUACAACAAUAGAUCAUGUUCGAAUUAUGGGUUCCGACACGAAACAAAAUGGGUCGGAACGAAUAAAAACGUUUAAAAUCAUGAUUAAUGGUGAAAGAGCUAAAAUGAAACCAUGAUUUGUAAUAAAUAUAGUUGUUUGGUCGUAUAGACCAAAUGGGUCAAAUGAUGGUGAUAACAUCAUAUGACCAUAUCGACUAAUGUUGGUUGUUAAGUCAUAUGUUUACAGGAACGAAUAGCAAUUUGGAUAAUUGCGUCGUCAUAGAAUAUUGAAGUAAUAAUAGCAAGGUAUAAACGGGUCUAUACGUUGACUCGAGCCAGGUGAAUAUCGAAAGUACCCGGACGAAGAUCAAGCGACGAGAAAGAACCGAACACAUGAAGAAGAAGCUUCCGCACGUUGUUUCGUCGAAUUUUUAAACGACAAACUAACUACAUUAUGUUGUUCUAAACUUUAAAUUAUAAAAUUUUUAAUAAACCCGUACUUUGUAAUGUAUAUGUGCUCUUAAUCACAUGUUUAUUAUCUUA